rnacentral:rRNA from 1 species
UUCCGGUUGAUCCUGCCGGACCCGACUGCUAUUUGGGUGAGAAUAAGCCAUGCGAGUUGAAUGGAAUACCUAAAUUUUCCAUGGCAAACUGCUCAGUAACACAUGAUCAACUUACCCUAUAGAGAAAAAUAACCUCGGGAAACUGAGGAUAAUGUUUCAUAGUUGAAAAGGCUUGGAAAAGUUUUUCAAUUAAAGGGAUAAGAAAAAUGGUUCUUAUCUGCUAUAGGAUAGGAUCGUGGUCGAUUAUGGUUGUUGGUGAGGUAAUGGCUCACCAAGCCGAUAAUCGAUAGGGGCCGUGAGAGCGGGAGCCCCGAGAUGGGUACUGAGACAACGACCCAGGCCUUACGAGGCGCAGCAGGCGCGAAACCUCCGCAAUACACGAAAGUGUGACGGGGUUACCCAAAGUGUUCAAUUUUGAACUGUGGUAGGUGAGUAAUGUUCCCUACUAGAAAGGAGAGGGCAAGGCUGGUGCCAGCCGCCGCGGUAAAACCAGCUCUUCAAGUGGUCGGGAUAAUUAUUGGGCUUAAAGUGUCCGUAGCCGGUUUAGUAAGUUCCUGGUAAAAUCGGGUAGCUUAACUAUCUGUAUGCUAGGAAUACUGCUAUACUAGAGGGCGGGAGAGGUCUGAGGUACUACAGGGGUAGGGGUGAAAUCUUAUAAUCCUUGUAGGACCACCAGUGGCGAAGGCGUCAGACUGGAACGUGCCUGACGGUGAGGGACGAAAGCCAGGGGAGCGAACCGGAUUAGAUACCCGGGUAGUCCUGGCCGUAAACGAUGCAUACUAGGUGAUGGCAUGGCCAUGAGCCGUGUCAGUGCCGUAGGGAAACCGUUAAGUGUGCCGCCUGGGAAGUACGGUCGCAAGGCUAAAACUUAAAGGAAUUGGCGGGGGAGCACCACAAGGGGUGAAGCC